CUCUUUAUGGGGGGUGACUGCGUACCUUUUGUAUAAUGGGUCAGCGACUUAUAUUCUGUAGCAAGGUUAACCGCAUAGGGGAGCCGAAGGGAAACCGAGUCUUAAUUGGGCGUUAAGUUGCAGGGUAUAGACCCGAAACCCGGUGAUCUAGCCAUGGGCAGGUUGAAGGUUGGGUAACACUAACUGGAGGACCGAACCGACUAAUGUUGAAAAAUUAGCGGAUGACCUGUGGCUGGGGGUGAAAGGCCAAUCAAACCGGGAGAUAGCUGGUUCUCCCCGAAAGCUAUUUAGGUAGCGCCUCGUGAACUCAUCUCCGGGGGUAGAGCACUGUUUCGGCUAGGGGGCCAUCCCGGCUUACCAACCCGAUGCAAACUGCGAAUACCGGAGAAUGUUAUCACGGGAGACACACGGCGGGUGCUAACGUCCGUCGUGAAGAGGGAAACAACCCAGACCGCCAGCUAAGGUCCCAAAGUCAUGGUUAAGUGGGAAACGAUGUGGGAAGGCCCAGACAGCCAGGAUGUUGGCUUAGAAGCAGCCAUCAUUUAAAGAAAGCGUAAUAGCUCACUGGUCGAGUCGGCCUGCGCGGAAGAUGUAACGGGGCUAAACCAUGCACCGAAGCUGCGGCAGCGACACUUUAGUGUUGUUGGGUAGGGGAGCGUUCUGUAAGCCGUUGAAGGUGUCCUGUGAGGGGUGCUGGAGGUAUCAGAAGUGCGAAUGCUGACAUAAGUAACGAUAAAGCGGGUGAAAAGCCCGCUCGCCGGAAGACCAAGGGUUCCUGUCCAACGUUAAUCGGGGCAGGGUGAGUCGACCCCUAAGGCGAGGCCGAAAGGCGUAGUCGAUGGGAAACGGGUUAAUAUUCCCGUACUUGGUGUUACUGCGAAGGGGGGACGGAGAAGGCUAUGUUGGCCGGGCGACGGUUGUCCCGGUUUAAGCGUGUAGGUGUGUGUUCCAGGUAAAUCCGGUUCACUUUAACACUGAGGCGUGAUGACGAGGCACCACGGUGCUGAAGCAACAAAUGCCCUGCUUCCAGGAAAAGCCUCUAAGCAUCAGGUAACAUCAAAUCGUACCCCAAACCGACACAGGUGGUCAGGUAGAGAAUACCAAGGCGCUUGAGAGAACUCGGGUGAAGGAACUAGGCAAAAUGGUGCCGUAACUUCGGGAGAAGGCACGCUGACACGUAGGUGAAGUGAUUUACUCACGGAGCUGAAGUCAGUCGAAGAUACCAGCUGGCUGCAACUGUUUAUUAAAAACACAGCACUGUGCAAACACGAAAGUGGACGUAUACGGUGUGACGCCUGCCCGGUGCCGGAAGGUUAAUUGAUGGGGUCAGCGCAAGCGAAGCUCCUGAUCGAAGCCCCGGUAAACGGCGGCCGUAACUAUAACGGUCCUAAGGUAGCGAAAUUCCUUGUCGGGUAAGUUCCGACCUGCACGAAUGGCGUAAUGAUGGCCAGGCUGUCUCCACCCGAGACUCAGUGAAAUUGAACUCGCUGUGAAGAUGCAGUGUACCCGCGGCAAGACGGAAAGACCCCGUGAACCUUUACUAUAGCUUGACACUGAACAUUGAGCCUUGAUGUGUAGGAUAGGUGGGAGGCUUUGAAGCGUGGACGCCAGUCUGCGUGGAGCCGACCUUGAAAUACCACCCUUUAAUGUUUGAUGUUCUAACGUGGACCCGUAAUCCGGGUUGCGGACAGUGUCUGGUGGGUAGUUUGACUGGGGCGGUCUCCUCCUAAAGAGUAACGGAGGAGCACGAAGGUUGGCUAAUCCUGGUCGGACAUCAGGAGGUUAGUGCAAUGGCAUAAGCCAGCUUGACUGCGAGCGUGACGGCGCGAGCAGGUGCGAAAGCAGGUCAUAGUGAUCCGGUGGUUCUGAAUGGAAGGGCCAUCGCUCAACGGAUAAAAGGUACUCCGGGGAUAACAGGCUGAUACCGCCCAAGAGUUCAUAUCGACGGCGGUGUUUGGCACCUCGAUGUCGGCUCAUCACAUCCUGGGGCUGAAGUAGGUCCCAAGGGUAUGGCUGUUCGCCAUUUAAAGUGGUACGCGAGCUGGGUUUAGAACGUCGUGAGACAGUUCGGUCCCUAUCUGCCGUGGGCGCUGGAAGAUUGAGGGGGGCUGCUCCUAGUACGA
rnacentral:rRNA from 1 species